UACACUUUAAAAAUUUAUAUUGUUAUUUCAUUAACAUUAAAUUGUAAUAAUUUUCCACCUGUAACAUGUAUUUAAACAAAUAGCUAAAGCAUCUUUGUGGGUUGUAUAAGAUUACUUUGUAGGCCAGAUGCAGCCCUUGGCUACCAGUUUGAGAUCACUGUCCUAGAUAGCUUCUUUGUCAGAACAAUGCUCCAGCACACAAAUGCAUUUCUAUGAAACAGCUUUUGGUAAAAAAAAAAAAAUAUCAUUGCUGGAUCAUCUGUUCUAUUCUUCAGAUUUGGCACUCUUGGCUUAUUUUUAUUCCCAAGAUAAAAUGGGUCCCCUUUAAACACAUUUUUGGAGUCCACAGAGGCAUCAAAGCAAAAAUAGUGAAGUUUUUUAAAAGCCUAAGAGAAAUGGACUUUCAUCAUUCUUUUGAACAGUAGAAGAAAUGAAUGCAGCAAUAUAUGGACAGAAAAGGAGAAUAUAUUGAAGCGGAUAAAAGUAAAAUAAACAAUAUUUAUAGCUGCUUAUCCAGUUAUUUAAAAGCCAUGUCUCAUAUAUUUCAAAUUAUAUAACUUUUUUAUAAAUUUUAUUUUUAACUUUAGUUAUAUAUACUGUAAAUAUUUUUAUUUUGCUGUGAAAUAAC
rnacentral:lncRNA from 1 species